ACACCGGCAGCUCUAGUGGUAGCAACUUUUAUUGGGCCUAAAGCGUCCGUAGCCGGUUUAAUAAGUCUCUGGUGAAAUCCCGCAGCUUAACUGUGGGAAUUGCUGGAGAUACUAUCAUGACUCGAGGUCGGGAGAGGCUGGAGGUACUCCCAGGGUAGGGGUGAAAUCCUGUAAUCCUGGGAGGACCACCUGUGGCGAAGGCGUCCAGCUGGAACGAACCUGACGGUGAGGGACGAAAGCCAGGGGCGCGAACCGGAUUAGAUACCCGGGUAGUCCUGGCCGUAAACGAUGUGGACUUGGUGUUGGGAUGGCUUCGAGCUGCCCCAGUGCCGAAGGGAAGCUGUUAAGUCCACCGCCUGGGAAGUACGGCCGCAAGGCUGAAACUUAAAUGAAUUGGCGGGG
rnacentral:rRNA from 1 species